rnacentral:rRNA from 1 species
GACGUAGGGUGCGAGCGUUGUCCGGAUUUCUUGGGCGUAAAGAGCUCGUAGGCGGCUCGUCGCGUCGACCGUGAAAACCCGCGGCUUAACUGCGGGCUUGCGGUUGAUACGGGCGGGCUAGAGUUCGGUAGGGGAGACUGGAAUUCCUGGUGUAGCGGUGAAAUGCGCAGAUAUCAGGAGGAACACCGGUGGCUAAGUCGGGUCUCUGGGCCGAUACUGACGCUGAGGAGCGAAAGCGUGGGGAGCGAACAGG